UGACAACAUCUCAUGUGGCAUUGUUAAACAUGCUCGAAAUCACCAUGAGGGCAUGGCCAACGCUCCAGUCUGUACCGGUGCCCCAGCCGCCACAUUGACCUGCCCGAUGCCACGUCUGUCAAACCUAUCGCCUGCAGAGCAAAGCGGUCUCCUGCAGAAGAGCUCGCCUCCUCCCUGACCAAAGAAACGAGGCGACCGCUCGGGCGACGCGGUGUGGGAUCGGUCGCUCCACUCCCCGCAGGACCACGCAGACCCAACAAAAGCCGGCGGCGCAAGGGCGCGAACGAGAAGGGAGGCACAGGAACGGGAGAAGGGAAGCGCGCGAACCAGGGCAGUGGAGGCGCGACGCGCGAACAAGAGGAGAAGGCGGCGCACCCUCGUCCUCAGCCCGUCGUCGACAUCGUCGAUUCGAGCUCUCCGUGCAAGAUGUUCUACAUAUACGUGCAACAAAAGCGGGUUUCAUGUGCCAGAAAGUGUAGAAGAUGUGAGUUUUUUUUUUGGAAUGAGAAGAAUCAAAGGAUACAGCAACAAAUUCAGUCUGAAAUUUGCUUUGUGUGUUUACAAAUCUUUCCUUUAUGAGUAUUUGGAAACCUUAAGAUUAUUCUGUUACUAUGGGAUUUUGUAGUGUCAUGGACAAGACAUACUUGUUGACACUGUUUGCAUAUCAAUAGUGCUGAUUUUUGUUUGGAAAUCAAGUUGUUUGAUAACUUUCAGUUUGUAUGCUUGUUGAUAUCGUUGAUUCAAAUGGAUGCUGGUAUUGUUUAAAUGUAGUGGAUGUUUGAUGUGUUGGAAAGGAGGUGAGAAAGAAAAAGUAAGAUGA